rnacentral:rRNA from 1 species
AUUGAACGCUGGUGGCAUGCUUUACACAUGCAAGUCGAACGGUAACAGGCCGCUAGGUGCUGACGAGUGGCGAACGGGUGAGUAAUGCAUCGGAACGUGCCCAGUCGUGGGGGAUAACUACUCGAAAGAGUAGCUAAUACCGCAUACGAUCUAUGGAUGAAAGCGGGGGACCGUAAGGCCUCGCGCGAUUGGAGCGGCCGAUGUCAGAUUAGGUAGUUGGUGGGGUAAAGGCUCACCAAGCCAACGAUCUGUAGCUGGUCUGAGAGGACGACCAGCCACACUGGGACUGAGACACGGCCCAGACUCCUACGGGAGGCAGCAGUGGGGAAUUUUGGACAAUGGGCGCAAGCCUGAUCCAGCAAUGCCGCGUGCAGGAAGAAGGCCUUCGGGUUGUAAACUGCUUUUGUACGGAACGAAACGGCUCUGGUUAAUACCCGGGGCUAAUGACGGUACCGUAAGAAUAAGCACCGGCUAACUACGUG